AUUGAACGCUGGCGGCAUGCCUUACACAUGCAAGUCGAACGCCCCGCAAGGGGAGUGGCAGACGGGUGAGUAACGCGUGGGAAUCUACCCAGUUCCACGGAAUAACCCAGGGAAACUUGGACUAAUACCGUAUACGCCCUACGGGGGAAAGAUUUAUCGGAAUUGGAUGAGCCCGCGUUGGAUUAGCUAGUUGGUGGGGUAAUGGCCUACCAAGGCGACGAUCCAUAGCUGGUCUGAGAGGAUGAUCAGCCACACUGGGACGGAGACACGGCCCAGACUCCUACGGGAGGCAGCAGUGGGGAAUAUUGGACAAUGGGCGCAAGCCUGAUCCAGCCAUGCCGCGUGAGUGAUGAAGGCCUUAGGGUUGUAAAGCUCUUUCAGUGGGGAAGAUAAUGACGGUACCCACAGAAGAAGCCCCGGCUAACUUCGUGCCAGCAGCCGCCGUAAUAC
rnacentral:rRNA from 1 species